CUCUGUAGAAGUGAGCGCCGUACUCAAGGCUGCCCCUGGGUGGACCUGAGAAAUGGGUGAAUGAGCCUCGCCCUGGUCUCUGCUCAUCAGUUCUCUCCUACAGCCUUGUCUCUCGGAUACAGGAGGAAAGCCAACAACUAUCUAGAAAAGUUCUCUUUUCCAAAGGGGUUCAUGUUAUAAAAGAACCUACAAGAGGAGAAAAUCCUAGGGGGCACAACCUUCCGCCUAAUCUCACAAGAGUCUGUCUGUGUGUCUUUCUGUCCCGUCAGUCUGUAACGAACUUCUGGAGGGGAAGGGCUGUUUCUUAAGUCAUGGAUGCUUUUCCUGUGCAGACACAAACCUCGAUGUUUAUGAAGGAAUGAAUGGAUACACGCGCAAACAACGGAAGGCGUGCAUGAGAGUGGCCGACGAAAUGUAGGCACUGACGGAAAUCUGAAAAAUUAUAAGAAAGCAGAAAAGAAGCAAACAAGAAUUAUGCAUCAUCAUAUCUCCCAAGAUGAUCACAAGUAUUGUACAUGAAAGCUGCAUGGAAACGCCUUGACAGU
ensembl:lncRNA